UGGUGAACCAGCGGUUCCUCCUCUAACACAAAGUAUUUUUCAUUCUUUCCUGCAGAAUACCGAAUUUUAACAUGACUGCUGUGAAUGGGAAGAAAUUGAUUCUGGCUCUGUGUUUUCUUUGGUGAGAAAUGCACUGUAGGUGUAAAAACGGAGGUAGGUGUCUGUGUCCAAUUUAAAUUCUACCUCCCCUAUAGGAGCUGCCCUAAGCUUUCACACCUGUACAAGAGACAUUUUCUCAUUUAACCUUGACGCAUAUCCUUUUGUUUAGGCCAAGGGGAGUUGGACUUGGAUCAAGAAUAUCAAGAAUCCG
rnacentral:lncRNA from 1 species